rnacentral:rRNA from 1 species
GACGAACGCUGGCGGCGUGCUUAACACAUGCAAGUCGAACGGAAAGGCCCUGCUUUUGUGGGGUGCUCGAGUGGCGAACGGGUGAGUAACACGUGAGUAACCUGCCCUUGACUUUGGGAUAACUUCAGGAAACUGGGGCUAAUACCGGAUAGGAGCUCCUGCUGCAUGGUGGGGGUUGGAAAGUUUCGGCGGUUGGGGAUGGACUCGCGGCUUAUCAGCUUGUUGGUGGGGUAGUGGCUUACCAAGGCUUUGACGGGUAGCCGGCCUGGGAGGGUGACCGGCCACAUUGGGACUGAGAUGCGACCCAGACUCCUACGGGAGGCAGCAGUGGGGAAUAUUGCACAAGGGGCGGAAGCCUGAUGCAGCAACGCCGCGUGCGGGAUGACGGCCUUCGGGUUGUAAACCGCUUUCGCCUGUGACGAAGCGUGAGUGACGGUAAUGGGUAAAGAAGCACCGGCUAACUACGUG